rnacentral:rRNA from 1 species
UGGGGAAUAUUGCACAAUGGGCGCAAGCCUGAUGCAGCCAUGCCGCGUGUGUGAAGAAGGCCUUCGGGUUGUAAAGCACUUUCAGCGGGGAGGAAGGCGAUAAGGUUAAUAACCUCAUCGAUUGACGUUACCCGCAGAAGAAGCACCGGCUAACUCCGUGCCAGCAGCCGCGGUAAUACGGAGGGUGCAAGCGUUAAUCGGAAUUACUGGGCGUAAAGCGCACGCAGGCGGUCUGUCAAGUCGGAUGUGAAAUCCCCGGGCUCAACCUGGGAACUGCAUUCGAAACUGGCAGGCUAGAGUCUUGUAGAGGGGGGUAGAAUUCCAGGUGUAGCGGUGAAAUGCGUAGAGAGCUGGAGGAAUACCGGUGGCGAAGGCGGCCCCCUGGACAAAGACUGACGCUCAGGUGCGAAAGCGUGGGGAGCAAACAGG